AUGCUCCCCUAGAUGAGAAAGAUAAUGAGGAACUGUCAGCUGACCUACCCAUUGAAGUUUAUGAGGAUCCUAUGGAUCCGCAAACCUUGAGUGCAUGAUCAUCCCCGCAUUAUGAUUAGCCCAAUAGUAUAAUGAUAAAAGUGGCCCUCUUUUGUAUUUUGAUAUUGUAUUUUGCAGCCACUUCUGACCUUAGUUAUAU
rnacentral:lncRNA from 1 species